GCUAUCAGCGACAAACGUAAAACGUGCGAUAUCGUAUUGUAGUAAUUUUACAGAGAUAUAUGCGUUAGGAGAAGUUUAAUUUAUGAUAUACAUAGGUAUAUGUAGUUAUGUACAGGGUGUUUCAUUUGUCUUGUCCACUUUGUAUCUUUGUUACUUUUGCAUAUGCAAAAAAGUGUAUGGAGGUAAAAGUUGUUUAAUCUAGAAAUUUAAGUUAUGAUAAACAUAGGUAUAUGUAGUUAUGUACAGGGUGUUUCAUUUAUAUUGUACACUUUAUAUCUUUGUUACUUUUGCAUAUGCAAAAAAGUGUAUGGAGGUAAAAGUUGUUUAAUCUAGAAAUUUAAGUUAUACAUAGGUAUAUGUAGUUAUGUACAGGGUGUUUCGUUUAUCUUGUCUACUUUAGUAUCUUUGUUACUUUUGCAUAUACAAAAAAAUGUAUGGAGGUAAAAGAUGUUUAGUUCAGAACGAGGCAUAUUGCGGUACAUGUCUUUUUCCCUUGCUGGUUAUUUUUUUCUUCCUUUAUUUUUUAUUCUUUUAAGUUUCCAAGGUCAUAGACGAUUUUGCAAUAACAACGACACAUCUUUAUGCGAUGUAUUUCAAACGUGUAGAUAUGUCGACCUAGGAAUAACCUCGAGCGGAGAAUUCAUGAUAAAUCGAAGGGAAAUGAGAAAUCGAAUUAUUUAUUUGUUUUUGCCCCAAAUUUUCAUCAUUUUCCUAGAAAUAGAAAAAAUAUUGUAGAACCGCGUGCAUCCCCGGGCAAGGAAGUCGAAAUUAAGCGAAACGAGAUAAUAAAAGUAAAAAAUGUUCAGCUAUCAGAGGCAAGCCUUGCUCUCUUGGUCACUUCAUUUGGAAAUUCGUUACCUCUUCUACCAAAUUCGCAAAGCUGUGCGUGGGUGGCUAUGCAAAUUGGAAUCCAGGAUCCUAGAAGUAUUUGCCUAUGCAGUAUUUCGAGACUGAGAGUGACCUUUCACCACGGAAUAUGGAAUGAGAAGGAGUUUUUAGUGGGUAGUCCGCCCAACAUCUUAGACAGUGUCAUAUAGCUAGUGAUUGGAUCGAUACCGAAAUUACGUAUUGAUAAUACUCAAUCAAUUCGGUACCAAAGUACUCCAUAUAAGACAUCGAAAUUUUAGAUAUCUCUCGGUAUGACGCGGUAGUUAGGUUGCGAAAAAGCGCCAUGUCGUGCGAAAUCGUGUUACACGAAACGAAGAAUUAACGGAAAAUUGGUGAUUAGAUUCCAAAAUCAAUUAAAAAUAAAUUAAUUUAAAGCAUUACGUAUUGAUAU